CAUUCUGCUGUUGCCAGAAGCUGUGUCUGAGCUCUCAUCUCUGCCAUCCCUCCUGUUACCUGGCUGGGUGGCUUUAGAGCAGACUGGUGGCCCAAAAGCUGGUGGCCUCUGUUGCCAAGUCCUCACCCCACUCUGUCUCUAUCGAAGACUGGCUGACCCAGAAAACAGGAGACAGGGGAGCAGAGAGAAAGAAUGGACCCUGGUGUCCUGCUGAAGAGGCCAUCCCCUGUACUGAAGUCUGCAAUGGGAAGGCAGGAGAAGCUUCAGUGCCAUGCUUGGGAUUCGCUGGGGAGGAAGAACUUCUGGCAGGCGGCAGUCCUUGGAGGUGAGAAGAAUCGGAGCCCUGGACAGGAGAAAGGAGGCACAGAAGGGUCUUUUGCUUGAAGUGAAAUUUCCUCUUCCCCCCCCACGUUGCAGCUUCCAUCCUGAGUUCUUGCUUCCUGUUGACUCAUGCCCAGGGGAGGACUGGAUUUUUCAUCAAAGUUGAACCAGAAAUGCUAACAGAAGGACAGAGUGUCACCUUAACACCAGUAGGUGUUGAUCAGAAUAUAUUUAUUAGCUGCAUCUGGUUCCGAGGAACAACUGAUUUGAGAAACAAGAUUUUCACCUAUUACCGAAGUCCAUUUCCUGGGCAGCUAAAUGGACCCGUCUUCACUGACCGGGAGGCAGGGGGCCCAGACUUCUCCCUUCGCAUCACAGAUUUAAGGACAAAUGACUCUGGAACCUAUAUCUUGAGAGUGGAAGGACCUCUGGGAUCUGCAACAAAGGAUACAACCUUAGUGGUCUCAGGUUCUGCUCCAUUGUCUGCAGGAGUCAUUUCUCGGAUCGUUAUUGGGUCUCUCGUUGCACUAACUUUGAUUGGAACCCUGCUUUGCGUCUUUCUCUGUGCCUGGCGUCUGAGAAAUAAGACUUCUACCCAGGACACAUCUGCACCUCCUUUCUGUGAGAAUACUCCCCCUUCUGGCCAGGUCAAGGCUGAAAGCUCCUCUGAUCCCAUAUAUGAAGUAAGUGGAGAUCGCUCAUGCUUCAUCCUUCUCUCAUCGGAAAAGAUAAUCUGAAUCAGCGGGAGCCAAGAAUCACCACCCUGAUAAGUUGCUUGAACAAGUGGACCUUCAACAGAGAGACCAGGCUGUGUAUGAUCAGCUGAAGUGGUAACAGAUGAAUCCACCAAUGUCCAUUCUGCUUCUGACUUGGAGCUUUCUGUCCACGCAGAGGUCCGGGGUUCAGUCCACUGGUUCUCCAGUUAAAAGGAUCUCAUGUAAGGAGCUGGGGAACUCUGCAGGAGUACUUGGAGAGGCAGUUGGAACAAACAGUACCAAGCUAGAUCUAAAUCUGUCUGAAGCAGUAUUCUCUGCCCCCAUAUGGGAAUCUCUCCCUAUAAAGUCAACAGAGAAAUGCAUGACCAUGUUAUCUGUGUGGCCUAUGGCUGAGUCUGCCAAGAGGCAACACAAUUUAUGGCAGCCAGUAGAACUUGGGCUGAUUGGAGUUGUACUCCAAAACAUCUGUAGGGCACCAGGUUGGCAAAGGCUGUCUUAUGGCAAGGAAGGUAAAAAGGAAAUGUUUGGUUGAUAUUUUCAUUUGCCAGCUUUCUUUUUAAAGCCACCUUAUAAUAUGUGAGCUGCUACUCUCCUCUGGGCAGGACCAGCUUUGAAUAAAAUGAAAGCAGCCUGGGUGAUUUUUUUGCUACAGGCAGGGCAGGCCUGAAAGAAUUUACAGCCCAAGUAGAGCAGUAAAAGGUGUCCCUCACUACUCCAAGUCAAGGUACAUAACUGCCAAGGUCAGUCAAGUUAUAUUGGCACCUGGGGCUGCAACAGCAACAACCUACAGACAGUUAUCUUCAGAUCAGCUGUGAGGCUGCUCCGUCACUCUGCCUAAGUGUACGUCCGCUCCUGGCUAAGGGACCAAUUGCCUCCUUUCUUGGUAGCGUAAGACCAUUCUCCAUUGUACGUCAACAUCCUGCAGCUGAGGAUAUAAAUACCAAGGAAAAAUAUAUCUCAAGUUUGCAAUGCUUUGCCCAGGCUUUCCCUGACCCACAGCCCCCAAAUCUCUGUUUUAUCUCCUUUUAUAGGUUUUUAUUGGUAUUAGGUUGUAUUUUUGUUUGAAUGGAUGUUGUUUUCAUAUUGUACAUAGUGUACACCAUUUAGAGGUUUUAAAAAUGUCAAG